GGGUUGUGAGGUUAAGCGACUAAGCGUACACGGUGGAUGCCCUGGCAGUCAGAGGCGAUGAAGGACGUGCUAAUCUGCGAAAAGCGUCGGUAAGGUGAUAUGAACCGUUAUAACCGGCGAUGUCCGAAUGGGGAAACCCAGUGCAAUUCGUUGCACUAUCGUUAACUGAAUACAUAGGUUAACGAGGCGAACCGGGGGAACUGAAACAUCUAAGUACCCCGAGGAAAAGAAAUCAACCGAGAUUCCCCCAGUAGCGGCGAGCGAACGGGGAGCAGCCCAGAGUCUGAAUCAGCUUGUGUGUUAGUGGAACGGUCUGGAAAGUCCGACGGUACAGGGUGAUAGUCCCGUACACCAAAAUGCACAGGCUGUGAACUCGAAGAGUAGGGCGGGACACGUGGUAUCCUGUCUGAAUAUGGGGGGACCAUCCUCCAAGGCUAAAUACUCCUGACUGACCGAUAGUGAACCAGUACCGUGAGGGAAAGGCGAAAAGAACCCCGGCGAGGGGAGUGAAAAAGAACCUGAAACCGUGUACGUACAAGCAGUGGGAGCACCUUCGGGUGUGACUGCGUACCUUUUGUAUAAUGGGUCAGCGACUUAUAUUCUGUAGCAAGGUUAACCGUAUAGGGGAGCCGCAGGGAAACCGAGUCUUAACUGGGCGUUAAGUUGCAGGGUAUAGACCCGAAACCCGGUGAUCUAGCCAUGGGCAGGUUGAAGGUUGGGUAACACUAACUGGAGGACCGAACCGACUAAUGUUGAAAAAUUAGCGGAUGACUUGUGGCUGGGGGUGAAAGGCCAAUCAAACCGGGAGAUAGCUGGUUCUCCCCGAAAGCUAUUUAGGUAGCGCCUCGUGAACUCAUCUUCGGGGGUAGAGCACUGUUUCGGCUAGGGGGUCAUCCCGACUUACCAACCCGAUGCAAACUACGAAUACCGAAGAAUGUUAUCACGGGAGACACACGGCGGGUGCUAACGUCCGUCGUGAAGAGGGAAACAACCCAGACCGCCAGCUAAGGUCCCAAAGUCAUGGUUAAGUGGGAAACGAUGUGGGAAGGCACAGACAGCCAGGAUGUUGGCUUAGAAGCAGCCAUCAUUUAAAGAAAGCGUAAUAGCUCACUGGUCGAGUCGGCCUGCGCGGAAGAUGUAACGGGGCUAAACCAUGCACCGAAGCUGCGGCAGCGACACUAUGUGUUGUUGGGUAGGGGAGCGUUCUGUAAGCCUGCGAAGGUGUGCUGUGAGGCAUGCUGGAGGUAUCAGAAGUGCGAAUGCUGACAUAAGUAACGAUAAAGCGGGUGAAAAGCCCGCUCGCCGGAAGACCAAGGGUUCCUGUCCAACGUUAAUCGGGGCAGGGUGAGUCGACCCCUAAGGCGAGGCCGAAAGGCGUAGUCGAUGGGAAACAGGUUAAUAUUCCUGUACUUGGUGUUACUGCGAAGGGGGGACGGAGAAGGCUAUGUUAGCCGGGCGACGGUUGUCCCGGUUUAAGCAUGUAGGCUGGUUAUCCAGGCAAAUCCGGAUAAUCAAGGCUGAGGUGUGAUGACGAGGCACUACGGUGCUGAAGUAACAAAUGCCCUGCUUCCAGGAAAAGCCUCUAAGCAUCAGGUAACAUCAAAUCGUACCCCAAACCGACACAGGUGGUCAGGUAGAGAAUACCAAGGCGCUUGAGAGAACUCGGGUGAAGGAACUAGGCAAAAUGGUGCCGUAACUUCGGGAGAAGGCACGCUGGUGUGUAGGUGAAGCCCCUGCGGGUGGAGCUGAGACCAGUCGAAGAUACCAGCUGGCUGCAACUGUUUAUUAAAAACACAGCACUGUGCAAACACGAAAGUGGACGUAUACGGUGUGACGCCUGCCCGGUGCCGGAAGGUUAAUUGAUGGGGUUAUCCGUAAGGAGAAGCUCUUGAUCGAAGCCCCGGUAAACGGCGGCCGUAACUAUAACGGUCCUAAGGUAGCGAAAUUCCUUGUCGGGUAAGUUCCGACCUGCACGAAUGGCGUAAUGAUGGCCAGGCUGUCUCCACCCGAGACUCAGUGAAAUUGAACUCGCUGUGAAGAUGCAGUGUACCCGCGGCAAGACGGAAAGACCCCGUGAACCUUUACUAUAGCUUGACACUGAACAUUGAGCCUUGAUGUGUAGGAUAGGUGGGAGGCUUUGAAGCGUGGACGCCAGUCUGCGUGGAGCCAACCUUGAAAUACCACCCUUUAAUGUUUGAUGUUCUAACGUUGGCCCCUUAUCGGGGUUGCGGACAGUGUCUGGUGGGUAGUUUGACUGGGGCGGUCUCCUCCCAAAGCGUAACGGAGGAGCACGAAGGUUAGCUAAUCCUGGUCGGACAUCAGGAGGUUAGUGCAAUGGCAUAAGCUAGCUUGACUGCGAGCGUGACGGCGCGAGCAGGUGCGAAAGCAGGUCAUAGUGAUCCGGUGGUUCUGAAUGGAAGGGCCAUCGCUCAACGGAUAAAAGGUACUCCGGGGAUAACAGGCUGAUACCGCCCAAGAGUUCAUAUCGACGGCGGUGUUUGGCACCUCGAUGUCGGCUCAUCACAUCCUGGGGCUGAAGUAGGUCCCAAGGGUAUGGCUGUUCGCCAUUUAAAGUGGUACGCGAGCUGGGUUUAGAACGUCGUGAGACAGUUCGGUCCCUAUCUGCCGUGGGCGCUGGAGAAUCGAGGGGGGCUGCUCCUAGUACGAGAGGACCGGAGUGGACGCAUCACUGGUGUUCGGGUUGUCAUGCCAAUGGCACUGCCCGGUAGCUAAAUGCGGAAGAGAUAAGUGCUGAAAGCAUCUAAGCACGAAACUUGCCCCGAGAUGAGUUCUCCCUGAGACUNUAAGUCUCCUGAAGGAACGUUAAAGACGAUGACGUUGAUAGGCCGGGUGUGUAAGCGCAGCGAUGCGUUGAGCUAACCGGUACUAAUGAACCGUGAGGCUUAACCUUACAACGCCGAAG
rnacentral:rRNA from 1 species